AUUUCACAAUAGAAAUGGUGGUUAUUCUGUCAUUGGGCCAUGUCAUGAAUAUGAGGAUCUGUUCUUUAAAAUAGUUCUGAUAAUAAAAUAUAAUUUAUUUCAAUUACCUUCAACCAGACACAGCUCCCUGAGGUAGUUGCACUUUCUUCAGAAAGGACGCGGUCUUUCAUAGCCUGGCUGAGGGACAACAGACCUUUAAGCCCAGUUCUUCAAGUAAUAAAAGAUGAAACUCCUGCCAAGACAGAGUUUUUUCAGCAUUUAAUUGAAGAUCGGACAGAAGCAGCUUUCUCUUAUUAUGAAUUCUUACUUCAUAUUCAGCAGCAGAUUUGUAAAUGAGCAAGGAGUAAACUAGAAGAAAAAUCCUGACUCCAGAUAGAAGCAUUGGCUGAGAGAAGUAUAUGGAAAGUUACAAAAGUGGAUGUUUGUUCUUCACAGUAUACAGUAAUCAGCACUGGUUUGGAAACUUUACAGCUAAAGAAGAAGAUGUAUACAUUUCCAGAAGAGUUUUGCAGAUUUAUUUCAGUCUAAAAGUGCUAGGAAUGGUGAAGCUGUUUUCAGUAGUAAAUUUUAAAGUGGUUUAUCCACGUUUCCAGUAGUGCGGCGGUAUGGUGCUCUGUUUAUUGCAAGCUACAUAUUCUAUGUAGCUAUGUGGGAUGAUAUUUCUUAAUGAAAUGUACAAUUAGGUAAAGCCUUUUUUUUCUUACGUUUAUUCUGGUAGCCCUUCAAGAUUCAAAUUCUUAACAGAGAUGUCAAAGGGCAGUGCUGUAUGUUGGUUGUUUAUAUGAAUUUCUUCUUAAAAGAAACAAUUCAUAUUUAGUAAAGACUCAGCGAAUUCCCUUUGAAAGUUGUAGAAUUUCACUAAAGUAAAUGAAUUGUAGAAAUAAAAUAUAUAAUGUACAUAAGUAUUACAUUUGUAAAGAAAAUGUAAAAAUGUAACUAAAAAAAAAGACUUAGCUCAGUGUGCUGAAUUGUUGAGUGUUCAAUGAUGAAUUGUUUCAGUCCCAAGCUAGACAGUGAAGCUGACUAUUAAAACAUGCUUAAAAAAAAAUCCAUGUAGAAGGAACACAGCUUCUUGUUCUGUUUAAUUUUUAGGUGGAUUUAUUUAUGAUUGGCUUACUAAUUAAAAAUAUUUUGCUUUAUCAUGUGUUUUUAUAUUUAUGCAAAUACUAUCUUUUUGCAACUGAACUAUAUAUUGAAGAGAACAUGUUUACCAUUUUAUUUUGCAGAAGGGAGGGAAGGGAGGAAAAAACAUUGCACUCUCUGAAAUGAGCUAUCAAUACAAUACAAUAGUUAAAGUUCCUGAAACCCUCCCUGUGUUAUCCUAAAGAAGACACAUCUGCUACCCUUGUUUUACGUUUUGUAAACUGCUGUAAUCUCGGUCCAGGUUUUCUGUAACUUUUGUCUGCUGUUUAGAGUAAGCAUGGGUAAUCACUCAAUCUAACUUGACUAUAUGAUUUCUGUUAUGAUCUAAAGGGGGAAAAAAAAAAAAAAAAGGUGAAGAGGGGUGUAAAAAUGAAUUAGCUUGCAACAAGGGAAGUAAAGGCUUUAAUAUACCAAAUUUCAAAAUGCAGUCACAUAGUCACAUUCUUACAUUUUUCCAAAACCUUGUUCUUGCUAAUGUUUUGGUAAAUUAUUUGUGAAGUUUCAGAUGGAUUUAGCUCAGAUUUUGAAACUUUGUUGUGAAAUUGGGGUGGUUUUGUUUCAUUUUUUUUUUUUUUUAGAGGCACAUUAGAAAUAAUUCACAAAGUAUAGUCACUCAUACAUAGUACUUUUUGUUCAUUUGUUCGAUGAAAUAUAACUAAAAUAAUUAAAUACAAAAAAAAAUAAUUAGUAUGAUUACAUUUUAUUUUAAAGUAGUCUUGAGAAUGUUAACAUGUUGCGUAACUGCCGUAUCCCCUGAAAGUGGAACUUGAAUAGUCGAGAAAAAAUGUUCUAGCUAUGGUUUGCAAAUGAUUUUAAAAAGUUACCCUAGUUAAAUUGUUCAAGUGAUGUUACUCUGCAUGUUAGCAUCAAUUCAUUGUUUGGGGAAAAUAUAAUUUACAUGUGUGUUGUCCUUAACUAAAUGUUUUUCAGUUACGUAAAAGAAACUUACCUAAAAUAAAUUACUUGAGAUUUUUUUUUUUUUCCAUUUAGUAAAUUAUCAUGUAAUAAAUGUCUGAGGUGAUGUUGAA